rnacentral:sRNA from 1 species
CUGUGUGGGUGCCCGGGCCGUAUGUGGCCUGGCCGGCCCUGACGCUCUCUGAGCCCUAGGAUCGUGUGUGAGAUGGAGGAGUCGCUGGUGCCCAGCCCGCCGCCGGGGCCCGUGGAGCUGUGUGUGGGUGACUGUUCAGCCGACUUCCGCACGCAGUCGGAGCAGGUCUACAGCUUUGUGACCCCAACGUUUGACCAAGUGAGUCCCAGCCGUGGCCCGGCGUCCGGGGGCACACGGCUUACCAUCUCAGGCAGCUCUCUGGAUGCUGGCAGCAGGGUCACAGUGACUGUGAGGGACAGCGAGUGCCAGUUUGUAAGGAGAGAUGCCAAGGCGAUCGUGUGCAUCUCACCUGUCUCCACCCUGGGCCCCAGCCAGGCCCCCAUCACACUUGCCAUUGACCGGGCUAACAUCUCCAGCCCCGGGGUCAUCUACACCUACACUCAGGACCCCACCGUCACCC